GAUGAACGCUAGCGGAAGGCUUAAUACAUGCAAGUCGAGCGGUAGGUGGCUUCGGCCAUUGAGAGCGGCGCACGGGUGAGUAACGCGUACAUGACCUGCCUGUCAGAAGGGGAUAGCCCUGGGAAACUGGGAUUAAUACCCUAUGGUAUUGAUAUUAUGAAUGAUAUCAAUUAAAGUUGAGGCGCUGACAGAUGGAUGUGCGUCUGAUUAGCUAGUUGGUAGGGUAACGGCCUACCAAGGCGACGAUCAGUAGGGGGCGUGAGAGCGUGGUCCCCCACACGGGAAGUGAGACACGGUCCAGACUCCUACGGGAGGCAGCAGUGGGGAAUAUUGGACGAGGGGCGAAAGCCUGAUCCAGCCAUGCCGCGUGUGUGAAGAAGGUCUUCGGAUUGUAAAGCACUUUAAGUCGGGAGGAAGGACUGUAGGCUAAUACCUUGCAGUUUUGACGUUACCGACAGAAUAAGCACCGGCUAACUUCGUGCCAGCAGCCGCGGUAAAAC
rnacentral:rRNA from 1 species